ACCAGGAUGGUCAGGUGGUUAAGGCAUUGGACGUAAGAUUCAAUGGACAUAUGUCUACAUGGGUUCAAACCCCACUCCUGGUA
rfam:TPA: Bos taurus chromosome 9, whole genome shotgun sequence.